rnacentral:rRNA from 1 species
UCCGUAGGUGANACCUGCGGAAGGAUCAUUACCGUUUGUCUUUUGACAACACCACUGUGAACUGUACCAAGCAGGUGGGGUAAAAAGUAUUCGUACUUUUUUUAAAUGGUUUCGACUGGCCCCACUUGUGCAACCAAUUGUGUAUUUUUACGCACUUGUUUAUUCAUGUAUGCUAGCCAGCAAUGGCAGCAAAGUAAAAACGUGACAACUUCUAACGGUGGAUCUCUUGGCUCGUGCAUCGAUGAAGAACGUAGCCAGUUGCGAUAAGUAGUGUGAAUUGCAGAAUUCAGUGAAUCAUCGAAUUUUUGAACGCAAAUUGCGCUCUCUGGAUACCCAGGGAGCACGUUUGUCUGAGUGUCAUUUUAAAUUCUACACACUUUGGUGUGGUGUGAGGGUUCAGGUUGUUUCAACCUGUCCUUCCAAGUUCCUGAACCUGGCACUCUUGCUCUCAAGAGAGUGUUCGGAAGGCUCAACUUGCUUCUGUCCUUCCUGCGCUUUUCUUUGCUCGAGUGUUCAGUAGUUCUUCAUUUUCGAAAGAAAAUAACUUCUAAUUUUGACCUCAGAUCAAGCAAGACUACCCGCUGAAUUUAAGCAUAUCAAUA